rnacentral:rRNA from 1 species
GACGAACCGAGCGAACGUUGUUCGGAAUCACUGGGCUUAAAGGGCGCGUAGGCGGGUUCGCAAGUCUGUGGUGAAAUCCUCCAGCUCAACUGGAGAACUGCCUCGGAUACUGCGGUCCUCGAGGGUGGUAGGGGUAUGCGGAACUAUCGGUGGAGCGGUGAAAUGCGUUGAUAUCGAUAGGAACUCCGGUGGCGAAGGCGGCAUACUGGACCACAUCUGACGCUGAGGCGCGAAAGCUAGGGGAGCAAACGGG